GAUGCAAGUAUAUUAUUUGCAUAACACAGAUGCUGAUUUUUCUCUUGGACCAGUAAUUAGUUGUAACAUUGCGAACGGACAUCAGCAACUGCUUGAUAUCGAAGGGAAUGAUAUUCAGAUGGUAAAAUGGAUGCGAGCUGGGACGAUUUUGAUUAAAAAACCCUGUCUCCUUCUUAGUGAGGUCUCAGAUUUUCCGUCCUUCGUUUUACUUAAGUAUAUAU